GCAUGCAUGUGUGCUGUGCCACAACAAUCUAAAACAUGAACAUGCCAGAUUCUCUCACAAGCUGCACUUCUCCCCAUUAUUCUUUAUAUUGCAAAACCAAUCCAAACUUUGCAGUACUUCCCAAUUUUGUUCCAAAGGAUACGCCCAACGUAAUUCAAAGGAUCAAAGACCAAACUUGAUCAAGAGACCAAACAUUCAUAACUUUAUUUUUAAUUUUUAUUCAGAUGAAAAAUCAUACCAAAAAGUGAAGGCUGACAUGUAAGUGUUGUCAGAAUGACUAACCUUUGCCUAUUCUUGGAUGAUACGAUGCAUUAUUUGAUGUGUUGAUGAGGUGAUU
rnacentral:lncRNA from 1 species